AGCCUUGUAGUGAAAUUCACGACGAGUUGCAAACUCGUAGAUGUGCUUUAAAUUGUGCCGGGGCUU
rnacentral:tRNA from 1 species